UACUCGUUCGUUUAAGAACAGACGAAAAUCUUUAUAGAAAAAAAGACUGCUCACCUGGUAAGUUUUUGCGUAUAACAGUCCUUAAGUUAUUAUACGUAUGUACUAUAGACUAUAACGUAACCUUAGUCUGAAGCUUGAUCAAUCUUUUUUUUUCAUUUUGUACAUGUGCUAUAAUUAAUGCUGAGUUUUUAAAAGUAAAUCUCAGUUAUUAUCGUUACUUCGA
rnacentral:misc_RNA from 1 species